GACCCCGGAAACCACGUCUUUCUUUCAAAAUAAAGCUCGAGCUUCCUGACUUAGAACGUUAUUACAAUUAGAAAAAUGCCACGUUCAUACACUAAAUAAUAAUUUAAUAUGUUAAAGUCACACAUUUAUCCGUAAAUAACACUACAUUCAUUCAUACUAUCCCCUGAAUUCGGCGCUGUGAAAAUGUGUUUAUUUAUUUUGAAAAACAUCAACCGGAAGCAAGAGUGUUUUUCCCAGAAAUUGAAUCGAUUCCAGAGGAACACGCUGGGCGGGAGGCGGCGUGCAGGAAAAAUGAUAGAUCUUUAACUAUGGGACAUGUAGUUCAGAAGACCAGUCUGCUGACAGUAUUGAAGCCCCCACCCCCCCCUCCUCCUCCAGAUGGGCCGCAGCUCCCCGGUGGGUUAUUGUCAUCUGAACCGUUGGGCCUGAACGAGCACGAGGAUGAAGAAGCCUGAAAAGCCUGGGUCCGGGCACUGAGUUCCUGUUCCUGUAAUAGUUUGAGCAAAAAGUUUGAUUAAGCGUGGAGAAAAAAGAUAAAUUAAAAAA